rnacentral:lncRNA from 1 species
CUAGAGGUGGCAUUCGCCCUCCUUAUUCCUUUUCAAAAAAUUUGUGCCAAAUAAAAAGAGUUAAGGCAGAAAAAUCAUCCAACUAAUUGGCUUAGUCCAACCUAAAUGAGAUGCCCAAUAUGACCCAAAUAGAUUAGGUUAGGAUGAAGGCUAUUGACUUGAUCUAAACCUUAUCUAAUAAGAAACUAAGUCUAGAGAAAAAUUUGAGUUUAACCAUGUGCUGGC